GAUGACCGCUCGCGGCGUGCCUAAUACAUGCAAGUUGAGCGAACAGACGAGGAGCUUGCACCUCUGACUUUAGCGGCGGAUGUGUGCGUAACACGUGGCUAACCUACCUAUAAGACUGGGAUAACUUCGGGAAACCGGAGCUACUACCGGAUAAUAUAUUGAACCGCAUGGUUCAAUAGUGAAAGACGGUUUUGCUGUCACUUAUUGAAGGAUCUGCGCCGCAUUAGCUAGUUGGUAAGGUAACGGCUUACCAAGGCAACGAUGCGUAGCCGACCUGAGAGGGUGAUCAACCACACUGGAACUGAGACACGGUCCAGACUCCUACGAGAGGCAGCAGUAGGAAAUCUUCCGAAAUGAACGAAAGCUUAACGUAGCAACACCGCGUGUAUGAUGAAGGUCUACGAAACGUAAAACAGUGGUAGUAAGGGAGAGCAAGUGUGAAGGUAACUGUGCACGUCUUGACGGUACCUAAUCGGAAGGCCACGGCUAGCUACAUG
rnacentral:rRNA from 1 species